ACGCUGGCGGCACGCCUAACACAUGCAAGUCGAACGAAGUAGCAAUACUUAGUGGCAGACGGGUGAGUAACAUGUAGGUAUCUGCCCUUUGGCCUGGAAUAACACGAGGAAACUUGUGCUAAUACCGGAUAAGUCUUUACGGAGAAAGCUUUAUGCACCAUUGGAUGAGCCUGCACUUGAUUAGUUUGUUGGUGGGGUAAUGGCCUACCAAGACUGUGAUCAAUAGCUGAUUUGAGAGGAUGAUCAGCCACAUUGGGACUGAGACACGGCCCAAACUCCUACGGGAGGCAGCAGUGGGGAAUCUUGCACAAUGGAGGAAACUCUGAUGCAGCGAUGCCGCGUGAGUGAAGAAGGCCUUUGGGUUGUAAAGCUCUUUCGUCGGGGAAGAAAAUGACUGUACCCGAAUAAGAAGGUCCGGCUAACUUCGUGCCAGCAGCCGCGGUAAUACGAAGGGACCUAGCGUAGUUCGGAAUUACUGGGCUUAAAGAGUUCGUAGGUGGUUGAAAAAGUUAGUGGUGAAAUCCCAGAGCUUAACUCUGGAACUGCCAUUAAAACUUUUCAGCUAGAGUAUGAUAGAGGAAAGCAGAAUUUCUAGUGUAGAGGUGAAAUUCGUAGAUAUUAGAAAGAAUACCAAUUGCGAAGGCAGCUUUCUGGAUCAUUACUGACACUGAGGAACGAAAGCAUGGGUAGCGAAGAGGAUUAGAUACCCUCGUAGUCCAUGCCGUAAACGAUGUGUGUUAGACGUUGGAAAUUUAUUUUCAGUGUCGCAGGGAAACCGAUAAACACACCGCCUGGGGAGUACGACCGCAAGGUUAGAACUCAAAUGAAUUGACGGGGACCCGCACAAGUAGUGGAGCAUGUGGUUUAAUUCGAAGAUACGCGCAGAACCUUACCAACACUUGACAUGUUCGUCGCAACUCUAAGAGAUUAGAGUUUUCGGUUCGGCCGGACGAAACACAGGUGCUGCAUGGCUGUCGUCAGCUCGUGUCGUGAGAUGUUGGGUUAAGUCCCGCAACGAGCGCAACCCUCACUUUUAGUUGCCAUCAUUAAGUUGGGCACUCUAAAAGAACUGCCAGUGAUAAGCUGGAGGAAGGUGGGGAUGACGUCAAGUCCUCAUGGCCCUUACGUGUUGGGCUACACACGUGCUACAAUGGUAUCUACAACAGGAAGCAAGACGGCGACGUCAAGCAAAUCCCUAAAAGAUACCUCAGUUCGGAUUGCACUCUGCAACUCGAGUGCAUGAAGCUGGAAUUACUAGUAAUCGUGGAUCAGCGUGCCACGGUGAAUGCGUUCCCGGGUCUUGUACACACCGCCC
rnacentral:rRNA from 1 species